GAACUUACUCCGUCCGGACCAAAAUAUUUUCUUAUGGCUGCAUUGCGAAAUGAAAUAGUGGACUAAAGCUGGGGCCAUAUUGGAGUUCCUUUGAGUUUUCUUCAUUAGAGGUCUAACAUAGGGCGGGAAAUCAAGGAUGACAGGCAAAGACGAUCUUGGAAGGAUGGAAAGCUGAGUCAACCUUGAGCCCCAUCAGGAUCGAACACCAGGCUCUGGGCAGAAUUACCCUACAAUACUGCAUUCUAACCACUGCACCACGAGGGCUCCUUAUCAAAACAUAUUGCUUUAAAUUCUAAUCACAACUCAAAACAGCAAAAUUCAGAGGAAGAUUAUUUCUGUGGGAUAAGAAUGACUACCUCCUGAGAAAGAUUUUUCUCCUGCUAAGAAGAGGAAAUAAAAAAGAGGGGUUGGGGAAAGGAAAUGAACAUCUCUAAGGCAAAAUGCAGUGGUUUAGUCAUUUUGCCACUACAGCACAACUGAAAUGCACCAUUUGGACUAUGGAACAGGCACAUAACCAAUUUUACAAAGAAGCUGCUGAGGAGUCUUUUUCCCUCCUCACUUCAUCCCAGCUCUCCGAAAAUAGAAAGUGCUUUCAAACUUCUCGUCCAAAGCCCAGAACAACAAACCUAAUGCCAAUUCACAAGAGGUGAGUAUGUAAUUGCAUGAUCUUUCAUGCGGACACUCCCUAACAAUUCCUUUCAAAAAAACAAACUAAAUGUCUGAUUUUACUAAGAAAAGGGGGAAUACGGGAAAGUGACAUUCACAUACAGACAGAAUAGCUAAACCUGCUCUUGAAUAUCAGCGCAAGCUUCAUAUUCACUGCAGAUCAGAUAAUCUGGACCUUCUAUCUUAAUGUUGUUAGGCGAACCCUCUUUUUUUCCCCUUCACAUGUCUAGAAUACCAUCUUCAGUUUAAAAGAAUAUGGAAGAUAAUUAAAAGACAACUUCUUUGUGGAGUCUAGUGCUUUGUCCAAUCAAGGAAAAUACUCCAACUCUCAUAGCACCAGACUAUCUAGUAAAGUAGGAAAUUAUCUAGUUCUGAACACGUUUCUGACUUCCUUCAAGGUUUAUUUCAAAGACCCAUACACAGCAAAACAAUUAGUAAUGUUUAGAAGUAAAACAGAAAGGUUGGACAUAAAACACAUGCUGAAAGAUAGUUAAUGGCAAUAAUAGACUAAUAAUAGAUCCCCCCAUCUUGCUCCUCCCCUCCCAACUUUUAAUUAUAAUUUUGUAUUCUUAUUGUUAUGAUUUUAUCAAUUUUAAUAUUGUAAGCUGCCCAGAAUCACCUUGUGGUGAUAUGGACAACAAAUAAAUUUAAUAAAAAUAAAUAAAUUCUCUGUAUUAUCUUUUUAGUGUCUAUUACCAUGUUUCCCCCAAAAUAAGACCCUGUCUUACAUUUUUUGAACCCUGAAAUAAGCGCUUGGCCUUAUUGCCAUGCACUCAAAAGCCCGAUUGGGCUUAUUAUCAGGGGAUGUCUUAUUUUGGGGAAAACAGGGUAUAUAUCCCAUCUUGGCCCUUUUAGUUUAAACCUAGGCAUCUUUUUCAGU